ACCCGCUGAAUUUAAGCAUAUAAGUAAGUGGUGGAAAUUAAACCAACUGGGAUCUCUUCAGUAAUUGCGCAUGAACCAGGAUAUGCUUAGCUUGACAAAUGGAGCUGCUGGCUCUGAAUUGUAUUGUGGGAAUGUAUUACCAACAGAGGUGCAGGUCACACUCCUUGGCAUUGGAAUGCAAAGUGGGUGGUAAGUUUCAUGCAAAGGUAAAUAUGCAAUUGAGACUGAUAGCGCACAAGUACCAUGAGGGACAUAUGAAAAGGACUUUGAACAGAGAAUUAAAUGAGUUUGUAUUUGCUAAACACAAAGUAAACAGACUUGAUUUCCUCAGUGAGAUUGUAGUGCUUGCUUAACAAUGGGUUUUGGCUGCAAGUGCAAUAAUUCUUGCUUUGUGUGCCCGUUUUUAUGUGGACAUUUGAUUACCUUUGCACAUGAAUGGUAAUUUUCCUGCGGGGUGUGGAUUGCAUAUGCAUGUAAUGAUUUGCAUGUUUGUUAAAUGUGUCUGGUGUAUUUGUUUGUGUCCUUGUCCUUGAGGUUGCUUUCUCCCUUGGGCUUACAUGCCCUGGCACACACAUUCUGGCAAAAUGCUUCUGCUUGACCCGUCUUGAAACACGGUCCAAGG
rnacentral:rRNA from 1 species